rnacentral:rRNA from 1 species
CAGCAGCCACGGUAAUACGAAGGGUGCAAGCGUUAAUCGGAAUUACUGGGCGUAAAGCGUGCGUAGGUGGUUGUAUAAGUUAUCUGUGAAAUUCCUGGGCUCAACCUGGGCAGGUCAGAUAAUACUGUAUGACUCGAGUAUGGGAGAGGGUAGCGGAAUUUCCGGUGUAGCGGUGAAAUGCGUAGAGAUCGGAAGGAACACCAGUGGCGAAGGCGGCUACCUGGCCUAAUACUGACACUGAGGCACGAAAGCGUGGGGAGCAAACAGGAUUAGAUACCCCCGUAGUCCCUGUCUCUUAUAC